UGGAAACAUUUCUAAGCUCGAUAUGUUUUCAUUUUUCCUUAACCCAUCAAACUUCACUUUAAUGAGUUAACUUGUUCCUUAAGUUAAUUGGAAUUAUCCAACAUCCAAAGUUCAAAGGAAUCUUUGAUGUUUUCAAAGAUGUGAUAUUCGACAUUGUGGUUUGGAAGAAUCUUAGGAACACUGCCCAGGCCAUGCUUAGGGGUUACAAAAGUUUCCAGUGAGAGCCACGAGAAGUAAACAAACUCACGAACGGGCUUGUGGUAACAAGCGAAUUGGGCUUUAUAUUUUCUUUUUCUUUUCGCUUUUUCUUUCAUACAUUCUUGUUGAACAUUUGAUAUAUCACUCCGUUCAUAAUAUUACAUAUUUUAAAACUUUUCAAGCGUAUUAAUAAAACAUAUUAAAUUUCAUUUAUAUAUACAUAAUUUUAUGUGAUUAUCUUUUUCUAUAAUUUUAAGCCAAUAAAAAUCCAAUAAGUACAAUUAAGUUUUUUUGAAAUUUGCAAUUAGUUGAUGAAAUAUGUAUUGAAAAUUUAAAAAAUAAAUCUUUUUGAAACUAUUUUUUUUUCUAAAACAUGUAACCUUAUGAAAUGGAGAGAGUAUAUCUGAAUGCUUGUAUACACUGGAAUCUAAGCAGGAAAUUAAAUACAAAAAGCAGUGUUUCAACUUUCAAGAUAUAUACGUAAAGUAAUGGUUACGAAUGAUUGAUUAUCUCAUCUAACCAUUGGUAUAAUCUACACACAUGCUACCAAAUAUUGCACUUAUAAAAUUUGUUAUGUAUAUGUUCAUGGAAACAUUAAUGUAUUAAUAUACAUCACUUAUCAUUUCUGUUUGUUAAAGCACUUUAUUUUACACCUGACGGCAUCACGUGAACCAACGUAGAAUCGUCCGUUGUAUUUUUCAGAGUUUGUAAUAUCGUAAUAUAUCCAGCAUUAAAAAAAAAGCAAUUUGUUUUAUUUUAAUAGAGCAAAAAAUACUUGUAUGGUGACUGAAGUUGGCUGGCUGAGAACGACGAUUCUUCGUAUGUUUACAUUGCUAACUUACUUUUACCAAGUUUUAAGGUAAUUUGCUAAGUUUAGUUGAAGGAAUAAACUCCAAAAACCAAAUACAAAUAAAAUACAUAACAUUUGAAAGAAAUAUGGAGAAAAUACUACCACUUUUUUAUAUGAUCAAACAAUUUAUCUUUUACAUGUUUUAACUAUUAAACUAAAAUUUUAUAAACCAAACACGUAAAUGUAAUCGUGUUUAUAUAAAAAUAUGCGAAUAUACUGAUUUCAC
rnacentral:lncRNA from 1 species